rnacentral:rRNA from 1 species
UAUGAUCCAGAGUACCACGGGACACGUGAAACCCUGUGGGAAGCAGGAGGGACCACCCUCCAAGGCUAAAUACUACCUAGUGACCGAUAGCGUAUAGUACCGUGAGGGAAAGGUGAAAAGAACCCCGGGAGGGGAGUGAAAUAGAACCUGAAACCCUGCACUUACAAGCUGUGGAAGCACAUUUCUUGUGUGACCGCGUACUUUUUGUAGAACGGGCCAACGAGUUACGUUAAGUAGCAAGGUUAAGCACUUAAGGUGCGGAGCCGUAGCGAAAGCGAGUUUUAACUGAGCGUUCAGUUACUUGACGUAGACCCGAAACCGGGCGACCUACCCAUGAGCAGGAUGAAGCGAAAGUAAAAUUUCGUGGAGGUCCGAACCCACGAGCGUUGAAAAGCUCGGGGAUGACUUGUGGGUAGCGGUGAAAUUCCAAUCGAGCCCGGAGAUAGCUGGUUCUCCCCGAAAUAGCUUUAGGGCUAGCCUCAAGGUGAGAGAUACGGAGGUAGAGCACUGAAUGUCCUAGGGGGUAUUGCACCUACCGAAGACUAUCAAACUCCGAAUGCCGUCAUCUUAUACUUGGGAGUCAGACUGUGGGUGAUAAGAUUCAUAGUCGAAAGGGCAACAGCCCAGAUCGUCAGCUAAGGUCCCUAAAUGUAAGUUAAGUGGUAAAGGAUGUGGGAUUGCACAGACAACCAGGAUGUUGGCUUAGAAGCAGCCACUCAUUCAAAGAGUGCGUAAUAGCUCACUGGUCGAGUGAUCCUGCGCCGAAGAUUUCCGGGGCUAAAACUUACUACCGAAGCUACGGCAUCAGUAAUGAUGGGUAGGGGAGCUUCCCAUACGGGUUGAAGCAUGACCGUAAGGACAUGUGGACAGUAUGGGAGUGAGAAUGUUGGCAUGAGUAGCGAGAUGUGGGUGAGAAUCCCACAGGCCGUAAACCCAAGGUUUCCAGGGGAAGGUUCGUCCGCCCUGGGUUAGUCGGGACCUAAGCUGAGGCCGAAAGGCGUAGGUGAUGGACAACAGGUUGAUAUUCCUGUACUACCGAUAACCGUUUGAGAGAAGGGAUGACACAGUAGGAUAAGCUAAGCACACUGUUGGUUAUGUGUGCCCAAGCAUUGAGGCAGUCAAAGUAGGCAAAUCCGCUUUGAUAAUGCUGGGAUGUGAUGGGGAGCGAAAUUUAGUAGCGAAGUAGCUGAUUUCACACUGUCAAGAAAAGUCUCUAUCGAGGUUAAAGGUACCCGUACCGCAAACCGACACAGGUGGGUGAGGAGAGUAUCCUAAGGCCAGCGAGAGAACUGUUGUUAAGGAACUCGGCAAAAUGACCCCGUAACUUAGGGAUAAGGGGUGCCACCAUCAGGUGGCCGCAGAGAAUAGGCCCAAGCGACUGUUUACCAAAAACAUAGGUUUCUGCUAAGUCGCAAGACGAUGUAUAGGAGCUGACGCCUGCCCGGUGCUGGAAGGUUAAGGGGAUCUGUUAGAGCAAUCGAAGCAGUGAACUUAAGCCCCAGUAAACGGCGGCCGUAACUAUAACGGUCCUAAGGUAGCGAAAUUCCUUGUCGGGUAAGUUCCGACCCGCACGAAAGGCGUAACGAUUUGGGCACUGUCUCAACAACAGACUCGGUGAAAUUGUAAUUCCGGUGAAGAUGCCGGAUACCUGCGACAGGACGGAAAGACCCCAUGGAGCUUUACUGUAGCUUGACAUUGGGUCUUGGUACUACAUGUACAGGAUAGGUGGGAGGCUUUGAAACCAGGACGCCAGUUUUGGCGGAGCCAUCCUUGGGAUACCACCCUUGUAGUACUGGGACUCUAACCAUAGGCCAUGAAUCUGGUCUUGGGACACUGUCAGGUGGGCAGUUUGACUGGGGCGGUCGCCUCCCAAAAGGUAACGGAGGCGCUCAAAGGUUCUCUCAGUACGGUCGGAAAUCGUACGUAGAGUGUAAAGGCAAAAGAGAGCUUGAUUGCAAGACAUACAGGUCGAGCAAGGAUGAAAAUCGGACUUAGUGAUCCGGUGGUUCUGCGUGGAAGGGCCAUCGCUCAACGGAUAAAAGCUACCCUGGGGAUAACAGGCUUAUCUCCCCCAAGAGUCCACAUCGACGGGGAGGUUUGGCACCUCGAUGUCGGCUCAUCACAUCCUGGGGCUGUAGUAGGUCCCAAGGGUUGGGCUGUUCGCCCAUUAAAGUGGUACGCGAGCUGGGUUCAGAACGUCGUGAGACAGUUCGGUCCCUAUCCGUCGCAGGCGUAGGAAAUUUGAGAAGACCUGUCCUUAGUACGAGAGGACCGGGAUGGACGUACCUCUGGUGUACCAGUUGUCCUGCCAAGGGCAUGGCUGGGUAGCUAUGUACGGAAUGGAUAAGCGCUGAAAGCAUCUAAGCGCGAAGCCAACUUCAAGAUAAGAUUUCCCACCGCAAGGGUAAGACCCCAGAAAGACUAUCUGGUUGAUAGGUCGAAGGUGUAAGUGCAGCAAUGUAUUUAGCUUAUCGAUACUAAUAGGUCCAGGACUUGACCAA